UUCGAAGGGCCACCACCUCUAGAGAACUCACCAUGGCCUGGGCUUUGUUUUUGCUAGCCCUUCUCAGUUACUGCUCAGGUGUCACCUCACAGCCAACGUUGACUCAGCCUCCCUCCAUGUCUGGGUCGCUGGGACAAACAGCUAAACUAUCCUGCACCGUCAGCAGUAACCUGAACCGCAUUUUCUGGCAUCAACAGAAACCUGGACAGGCCCCUCGCUAUGUGCACUAUGCUGGUGGCAGCAGGGGAUCAGGGAUCCCAGAUCGCUUCACUGCUUCUGUCUCUGGAAACACAGGCUAUUUAACCAUCACCGGCACUCAGGCUGAAGAUGAGGCUGUUUACUACUGUAACAUGUGGUAUAGCAGUGGGAAGUCGUUGCACAGUGGUGUCACUUCGCAGCCUGUCCUGACCCAGGCUGCCUCCCAGUCUGCAGCUCUGAGAAACAGUGUGAGACUCUCCUGCAGUCUGAGCAGCGGGUAUGAAAGCUAUGUUGUUGCCUGGUAUCGGCAGAGAGAGGACCAGGCACCCCAGCUUGUGCUGUAUCCAAAUAACAACAGACCCAGUGGGAUCCCAGACCGAAUCUCUGGCUCCAAAUCUGGCAGGGAGCGCUAUUUAACCAUCACCGGUCUCCAGGCAAAGGAUGAGGCCACGUAUUAUUGUGGUGCAGAUCAUGGCAGUGGUGGUAACUUCAUCUCGCCCACAGUGAUACAAUCAUAA